AGUCAAUUGAGUUAUCUGCUUAUUGAUUUCUGUUCCUAUCGAACCCCAGUAGCGAUGCCAAGUGGGGGAACAGCCGUCUGCUCUUAUGCUAAGGAAAUGCGCAACGUCAUUCAAGAUCCUUUCUGUGAAAAUUUGUAAAGAUCUAUAUGAGCAGAUCUACUGAUGAGAAACCUUCAAAAAUACUAUACUGUCGGCGUUGAAAGGCAAGAAAUGAAGCAACGAUAACAAUUUUACAGGUUGUAAAACUUCGAUAUUUUAAACCUUGAAAUUAAAGGAUAUCGGAUUAAAAACAUCAGAUUAAGAAACCUUUGGAUCAUGUUAAUUAUAACCAUAAGAUUUUAAUUUCUCAUUAUUAAACCUCCAGAUAAAAACGCCAUCAGAUUAUCAAUCUUUGGACCAUGCUGUAAACUUUCGAUAAUAAAACCUUCAGAUUAACAAAAAUCUUCAGUUUAUUUCAAGAAGAAACUGUAUCAUACCUAAUGUUGGAUCGUACUCGUGGACGAACCUUCCUGUUACAUAACGAACAACCAAAGCUUGGAAAAAUUAAAAAAUUCUUUGUUAAUGUUGAAAUCAAAACAUAAAAACAUAAA